UUAUUUUGUUUCCAAAACUUUUUGUAUUUUUUCCUUUGUGUUUGUUUUCUGUAUUCAGUUAAUAAAAGGGGGGGGGGAGUCAGACCUGUAAAAGAAAGAACAAACUAAAUAGCUUGACUAUUUUAAAGACAAACUAAUGGAGAAGUGCCUGCCUGGAUUACAAAGUGCUGAUUCUACCUCUGUGGUGAGAAUCAAGGAGUGAUACUUUUUCUUCUUUGAUCUAAUUGGGAUUAAUCUUCCUUUCUGUAGGUGAGAAAAGUUGGAUAACAUUGGGAGCUCUAAGCUUUGUCAUUCUGAUUCUGGCUGCCUUGACUUAUCACUUGGUAAGGAAAGCUCUGUUAUGUCAGUUAAAGGAGGAAGAAUCAAAUCCUCAGACCACUCCUUCUUAUGAUAGAUGGCAACUUUGUGGGACUCCAUCAAACAGAGGACCAUCACUCCAGAACACAGAACUUUCAGUUUAUGCAACCAUUGCUAGAGUGUAAGAAAAUAUUUAUCUUAGGAUUUCAAAAACAUCAUAUGUAGAUGCCAUAUCCUUGAAAUGGACAGAUUUUUAGGGAAUUAAAUAUCUGGAAGUGCUGGAGAAAACUGCAGAGUUUGGAAACCAUAUAGUUCUGGAAAGAUCUGGAUCAAAUGAGCCAUCUCUGUCUUCCAUGGCCUUAUUCAUUCUUUUCCUGCCCAUAAAGUUGUCAAUAUAUCUGAA